AGAGGGAAAAUCACUUUCAUCUGGAGAAGCUCGUCCGUUAACACGGGGCGGCCCAUCUGCAGGUCCCCGCUGUUCCUAAAAGAAAGAUUAAGGAUUUGAGUUGGCCUGACGGAGAGAUCUUCCAGGCGACUCCGGCCCAUGGAGGAUGCAGAGCAUCACAUCAGAUCAAACAUUGAUAAACCAGUACUUUACCAGCGUUUUAUCAAUAUCUUUAAAGGACGGGGAGUUUUUGCCACUGAAUUCAUAUCCAAAGGAGACUUUGUUGUGGAGUACCGAGGUGAACUGCUUACACAACAGGAGGGCGAGGUCCGAGCUGAUCAGUACAAUGAUUCUGCAAAGGUGUUUCUUUUCGAUUUCCAAUGGAAAGGAAGAAC